rnacentral:rRNA from 1 species
AAUCCCACGGGGCGCAGCAGUAGGGAAUCUUCCACAAUGGGCGAAAGCCUGAUGGAGCAACACCGCGUGGGUGAAGAAGGUCUUCGGAUCGUAAAACCCUGUUGUUAGAGAAGAAAGUGCGUGAGAGUAACUGUUCACGUUUCGACGGUAUCUAACCAGAAAGCCACGGCUAACUACGUGCCAGCAGCCGCGGUAAUACGUAGGUGGCAAGCGUUAUCCGGAUUUAUUGGGCGUAAAGGGAACGCAGGCGGGCUUUUAAGUCUGAUGUGAAAGACGUCGGCUUAA